rnacentral:rRNA from 1 species
AAAAAAUUAUUAUUGAUAAAUUUAUAGAUUAAAAUAUUCAAAAUAUUAAAUAUUUUAUUAAUUUAAUGAAUAAAGGAAAAUUAUUAUAGUUAAUAGUAAAGUGAUUGAAAUUUGAAAUAUUAUAUUUAUUAAAUUUUAAAAAGAAAAAUUUAUUCUUUGUACCUUUUGUAUCAGGGUUAAUUUAAAUUUUUAAAUUAAAAUUAAUUUCUCGAAUUUAAAAGAGUUAAUUUUUAAAUUAUUUUAUUGUGUUAAAAAUAUUUAAAAUUAAAAAUUUGUAAUGAAAUGUUAUUCGUUUUUAAAUAUAUCUAGUUUUUUAAGAAUUAUAUUUAAUAUAGAUUUUAUUUUCUAUAAAAUUUAAUUUUUAAAAUUUCAUGAUUUAAAAUUUGAAAAUUUUAGGGAUAAGCUUAAAAUUUAAUUUUUAAAUCAUAAAAUUUUUCAUAAUUUAUAGAACUAAAAAAUUUUUCAAAAAAAAAUGUUAUAAUUUAUUAUAAUUAAGAAAUUAAAUUUUAUUUUUUAAAGUAUUUUAUUAAAAAAUUAUUUAAAUAGAAAAUGUAAUGUUAUAAUGAUUAAAUUAGUAUAAAAUUAAUUUAUUAAUAAAUUAUUUUGUGAGGUUAGAGUAAGGAAUUCGGCAAAAGUAAUUUUCACCUGUUUAAUAAAAACAUGUCUUUUUGAUAAUAAUUUAAAGUCUGACCUGCUCAAUGAAAUUUAAAUAGCUGCGGUAUUUUGACCGUACAAAGGUAGCAUAAUCAAUAGUUUUUUAAAUGAAAACUGGAAUGAAAGGUUUGAUGAAAAAUUAACUGUCUCAAUCUAAUUUAAUUAGAAUUUUAUUUUUUAGUCAAAAAGCUAAAAUAAAUUUAAAAGACGAGAAGACCCUAUAGAGUUUUAUUAUUAUUAAAUAAAAAUUUUUAGAAAAAAUAUUUUUUUGAAAUAAUAAUUUAAUUGGGGUGAUGGAAAAAUUUAAAGAACUUUUUUUUUAAUUUCAAUUAUUUUUGUUUUUUUGAUCCAUUUAAAUGAUUAUAAGAUUAAAUUNNNNNNAUAACAGCGUAAAUUUUUUUAAGAGUUCUUAUCGAAAAAAAAGAUUGCGACCUCGAUGUUGGAUUAAAAUUUCUUUAUGGUGAAGAAGCUAUAAAAUUAGGUCUGUUCGACCUUUAAAAUUUUACAUGAUCUGAGUUUAGACCGGCGUAAGCCAGGUUGGAUUCUAUCUUUAAAUUCAUAAAAUAUUUUAGUACGAAAGGACCAAAUAUUUUCUUUAAAAGUUUAUUUUGAUUAUUU